AAAAAUUUGCCACUGUAUGGACGUAAGCCCUGCGCAUGAGCGUACAUGAUCAUUUUAAACAAAAAAAUUAGCAAAAUUCAGAGAAAUGAAAGCAGAAUCCUGUUUGAAGGAAAACAUCGCAUUCGAUACAGAAAUCGAUUUUCGUAUCGGAUGCUAGGUUUUUUCCAAACAGGAUUCUGCUUUCAUUUCCCUGAAUUCCCCCCAUUUUUUGGUUUUAAAUGAUCAUGUAGGCUUAUGGGCAGGGGCUAUUGUCCUCUAUUUGGUUAAACAUUCAAAAUCUGCCGAUAUUCUUGACGUAAUGGAUGCGAUACAUCGCAUGUCAGAGAGCUUGACCUUAAAUGGAAUUCUAAGCACUUUUUAUACUCAUACUUCUUUUUUGUCUUUUUAAUUUUUAUUUUUUUUUUUUCAAAUUGAACAACAUACUCAAGUGCAAAAACAAGUCAAUGAGGUAGUGAGCAGGUGACAAGAAAGUAUCUAGUGUAAUAGUGUAAGGGGAGCAAGGAGUCCAUUAUAUUGACCUAGUUUCUCUUUUCUAUGUUCGCAACAGGUGUCUAUGAUCACGCCUGGGAGAAUUCUUGCCGCCUAAACUCCAAUCGCAACACCAAAAGUGCAUCGGACAGUGAGAAAAAGGGCAUCGGAUGCAGAAAGCGAAAACUUCGAGUUUUGUUUUCGCCAACACCUUCAGAGAAUAAGGUCAAGAGUUCUGCUGCUCCAGACCAAAUGGUCUUCCCUGCCCCUCCAAAGAUAACGAAUAACAAAAAUCAAAAAUCGACUUUUGAAAGUAAACUAGUCUUCCCUGCCCCUCCGAUUUCAACGAACAACAAAAAUAUUAAAUCAAAAAUUGAAAGUGAAGCAGAUGAAUCAGAUUCUAUACACUCUCCGAGUCUUCUGGGUCUGUCUUAUUUUGAUGAAAGAAAUCGCAGCAAGCGCAAUGCAGAUGUCAAGCGCAAUUCAGAUGUCAAUUUUGAUGAGGACAAUAACGUUGUCAACAGUGAUAUCAACAAUGAUAUCAACAGUGAUAUCAACAAUGAUAUCAACAGUGAUAUCAACAUGAUAUCAACAGUGAUAUCAACAAUGAUAUCAACAGUGAUAUCAACAGUGAUUCCACCGGUCACACUUUGGCUUCCAUUGGCCAAGCCAUUGCCGUUUGUCAAGCAAACUUUCUAA
rnacentral:lncRNA from 1 species